AGACGCGUUUAUAAAAGUGGAGAAAGCGACUCAUUCUGUACGCGUUAAGAGAAGGUUUACCUGGCAAAACCGGCGCUCAGCUCCGUUUCUGACCGGCGCGGCCGCACCGGGCAGCGUACACAGCCAGGUGCGUCCUCUUGCAGCUCAGCACAACGCCUCGUGUUUAACGUGCACCCACGUGCAAAUAUUUAGGUGCUGACGUGUAAAUAUUUAGCUUUAGCGAACAGAAAGAAGAGCUCCAGAGCCGAUCGGUUUCUUCCCCGGCUGCGCAGGGAGCGCGAGGGGGACUGCCUCAGCCUGCUUCAUUUUAACAAGCCCUCCGCGGUGCAAACGGCAAUCUUUGAGGUCAAAACCGGUGCGCACCCACAGAAAGCGUUAAUACCGUUCACCGGUGGGAGCACAAAUGCCCUCUCGCAGCAUUUCACCAAAUGAAUGCAGCCGCAGAAGCCAAGUCUGAAAUACGUUCUCUGAUUAACAAACAGCCGGAUCAUGUUGAACUGCCACGUAACAUAGCUUCAGAAAUCUUUUAUCCAUACGCUAGAUGACUGGAACCAUCACUUACAUCAGGGUUAUCUCUCUGUGCUGUCUUUAUGUUGUCUGACAUCUAAUGUAUGCUUUUUAAAACAACAGAUUAAAGGGGUUCCACUUUUUAAAGGUGCAAGGAAUGCUAAAUUACAUACAGUUUAGUUACAAUAACCACUGACAAGCAUCUACAUCAAGUACUGAGAAUCAAAAAAACUAAUCUGCUUCUCCAUCAUGAACCUUCCACGUGGGUCCCCAUUUUGUUAUCCAUAAACAUUAAGAAAACUCAGUGUAAUAUAGAAGUGCAUGGCUGUUCUCUCCAAAAUCAAGGUGAGAUCCUUUAUCUUCUAGCAUCUCACUGACCUGGGAAGCAAGAAUUUGCUGCAGAAUUAAUCCUGAACUGCAGCAGACAAAUGAGAAUAAUGAAAAUGUCUUCAACUAACUCAGAAUAACCUUACUGUGCUGAGAUCACAGUUCUGUGCAAGAGAACUGAUCUGCAGACGCACCAAGUUGCAGGAUGUCACUCUCCUUGUGGUGUCUCCUUUGGGAGCUGGGCUGUACAGCCCUUUCCCAGCCCAACGCUUCACUACUGCAUCCCCCCACCCUUAAUGAAACACUGCAGAACAGCUUCCUGACUACUUGCUUCCAGAGACUACAUCCAUUUUUGUGCAUCUCGAAAACAGAUCUGAUACCAGUUCUGUAACACAAUAUCUCUGCUGACCAGAUAACCCAGAAGAAUACAGUUACAACUUAUCUGAACAGAGUUCAAAUAAUACUCGCCAAUGAAACACCAGUUCCUCGGGAACUCCCUGGCUGUUACCUGCCUUGAACCAGCGCAGGGCUGCGUUCAAAACAGCUGAAGUUUGUGCACGUGAGAAUGGUGGCACAGAGCUGCUAUAAUAAGAAAAUCUAAAGCAGUUUCUGCCUGCAACUAUCACCACGUGGGCCUUUAUGAGAGAGGUGAGAAUUUCUUGACUACCGGGAGGGUAACAAAGGCUUAAUAAAAAAAGCAGAAAGGCUUGUAGAAAUAAAACAUACAGAAAAGGGAAAGUUGCAACACAGUUAUCCUACUGACCUUUUCACUCCGACUUCAGAUUAUCUGCUCCUGGGGUAUUAACAUAAACUGCUCCAGCCUUAUUAAAGGCCAUAUCUAUAUUCUUUAGUGCUGUUUGCAUUCGGUACGCAUAUUUUUCAGAACGCUAACGGGCUUUGUUCAGUAAUGAACUUGGCAGCAGAGCAGGAAUCGGUUCUCUUUCAAUGUUACUUUCUAAAUAAAUUAUCUAAACCUGAUUGAGUUAGAUCCGUGGAUCAUGCUUUGGAAGAUGCAACUCGGAGUUUCUGAAUAAAGUGAAGCACUU
rnacentral:lncRNA from 7 species